UACGUAGGUGGCAAGCGUUAUCCGGAUUUACUGGGUGUAAAGGGAGCGUAGACGGCAAUGCAAGUCUGGAGUGAAAGGCGGGGGCCCAACCCCCGGACUGCUCUGGAAACUGUAUAGCUGGAGUGCAGGAGAGGUAAGUGGAAUUCCUAGUGUAGCGGUGAAAUGCGUAGAUAUUAGGAGGAACACCAGUGGCGAAGGCGGCUUACUGGACUGUAACUGACGUUGAGGCUCGAAAGCGUGGGGAGCAAACAGG
rnacentral:rRNA from 1 species